rnacentral:rRNA from 1 species
GCAUACGUCCUACGGGAGAAAGCAGGGGACCUUCGGGCCUUGCGCUAUCAGAUGAGCCUAGGUCGGAUUAGCUUGUUGGUGAGGUAAUGGCUCACCAAGGCGACGAUCCGUAACUGGUCUGAGAGGAUGAUCAGUCACACUGGAACUGAGACACGGUCCAGACUCCUACGGGAGGCAGCAGUGGGGAAUAUUGGACAAUGGGGGCAACCCUGAUCCAGCCAUGCCGCGUG